AACGAACGCUGGCGGCAUGCCUAACACAUGCAAGUCGAACGAGACCUUCGGGUCUAGUGGCGCACGGGUGCGUAACGCGUGGGAACCUGCCCUUAGGUUCGGAAUAACUCCCCGAAAGGGGUGCUAAUACCGGAUAAUGUCUACGGACCAAAGAUUUAUCGCCUUUGGAUGGGCCCGCGCUGAAUUAGCUAGUUGGUAGGGUAAAAGCCUACCAAGGCGACGAUCCAUAGCUGGUCUGAGAGGAUGGUCAGCCACACUGGGACUGAGACACGGCCCAGACUCCUACGGGAGGCAGCAGUGGGGAAUAUUGCACAAUGGGCGAAAGGCUGAUCCAGCAAUGCCGCGUGAGUGAUGAAGGCAUUAGGGUUGUAAAGCUCUUUUACCCGGGAUGAUAAUGACAGUACCGGGAGAAUAAGCUACGGCUAACUCCGUG
rnacentral:rRNA from 1 species